AGGAUAAACGCUGGCGGCGUGCCUAACACAUGCAAGUCGAACGCCCUUUUGCUCGCAAGAGCCGAGAGGGAGUGGCGGACGGGUGAGUAACACAUGGGUAACCUACCCACAGUGAGGAAUACCGGCGAGAAAUCGCCGACAAGACCGCAUAGGCUCGGUACCGGUGAAGCGGAGCGAGCAAAGUUUCUCUUUUGAGAAAGAGGGAGACGCUGAGGGAUGGGCCUGUGGCCGAUUAGCUGGUUGGUAAGGUAAAGGCUUACCAAGACGAUGAUCGGUA
rnacentral:rRNA from 1 species